rnacentral:lncRNA from 1 species
AUGGUGGGGUUGUUUUGUAGCUUUGGUUUUUUUACACACAGGUUGCUUUGUAAAGCUUUAAUUAAUGUCUGUAUGAAAUGAGGAGAGUUUGAUUAACAGGGACUAAAAACCAGGGAAAUUUGACCCAUCAGGCAGCAGAGAACAUAGUGGGGUUGUUUUGUGGCUUUGCCUUUUUAUACACACAGGUGGCUUCUUAAAACUUUAAUUAAUAUCUGUAUGAAAUGAGGAAAGUUUGAUUAGGAGGGACUAAAACCAGGGAAAUUUGACCCAUCAGGCAGCACAGAAUGUCGUGGGGUUGUUUUGUGGCUUUGCCUUUUUAUACACACAGGUGCCUUCUUAAAGCUUUAAUUAAUAUCUGUGUGAAAUGAGGGAGAGUUUGAUUAAUAGGGACUAAAACCAGGGAGAUUUGGCCCAUCAGGCAGCACAGAAUGUGAUGGGGUUGUUUUGUGGCUUUGCAUUGUGAGCAGCUGCCUCAGAGGCUGCUCGGGUGGGGAUUUACACCCAUUUACACACACACACCCAUUUACACCCAUUGACACCCACUUACACCCAUUUACACACAUUGACACCCACUUACACACAUUGACACCCACUUACACCCAUUUACACCCACUUACACCCACUUACACCCAUUUACACCCAUUGAUACCCACUUACACCCACUUACACCCAUUUACACACAUUGACGCCCAUUUACACACAUUUACACCCAUUUACACACAUUGACGCCCAUUUACACACAUUUACACCCACUUACACCCAUUGACACACACUUUGACCCAUUGACACCCACUUACACGCAUUUACACCCAUUUACACCCAUUGACACCCACUUACACCCAUUUACACGCAUUUAAACCCAUUUACACCCACUUACACCCACUGACACCUAUUGACACGCAUUGACACCCACUUACACCCAUUGACACCCAUUUACACCCAUUUACACCCACUUACACCCAUUGAUACCCACUUACACCCACUUACACCCAUUUACACCCACUUACACCCAUUUACACACACUUACACACAUUGACACCCACUUACAUUCACUUACACCCACUUACACCCAUUUACAC